rnacentral:lncRNA from 1 species
UCCCUGUCCAGCCUCCUGCCCUCCAGUCCCCUCGGGCCCAGCCCCUGGCCCCCUGCAGUGGCACCUGGCCAGUAGCUCCUUGGUCUGGUCAGUGAGGAUGGCACUGUCUGCUCUCACCAUGCAGGAGAGAGCGGAGAUGACACCUGCCUUCAGGAGCCUCUUCACCCGCAUGUCCACAAAGUCCUUCUUGUCCUGGGGGAUGGGAGAGUUGGCAAUGGAGAAGGGGCCUGGGCACCAGGCAGAUCUGUACUGGAACUUCAGAUGGUACGUUUCUGACUUCUUAGGGUAGGCUCACUAAUGGCCCUCCCAGAUGACCACAGCCCAAUCCCUAGAACCUGAGAAUGUGUAACCUCACAUGUCAAAAGGGACUUUGCCAAGAUGAUCAAGUGAACUGGGGAAGGGGAGAUAAUCCUGGAUAAUGUAGGUAGGCCCCAAAUAAUCAUGAUGCAACCACAGCACAGUAAGCUCAGGGUUAAUACUAGGAGGUGUGAAAACAGAAAGGUUAAAAUGAUUCAAGGUCCCAACCAAAGAAUGUAGGUGGCCUCUAGAAGUUGAAAAAGUCAAGGAAUAAGAUUCUCCCCUAGAGACUCCAGAAGGAGCCAACCCUGCAGACCCCUGGACUUCAGCCCAGGGGGACAGAUGCUCUGACUUCCGGCCUCCAGAGCUGUAAGAUAACAAAUGUGGUUUUCAGGCCACUGUGUUUGCGGCGAGGUGUUAGAGAAGCAAAAGGAAGUAAGGCACUUCUCUAGGUUCCCUUGCCGAAACAACGACCAUCAGGUAAGAACUUCUUCUCUGCUCUGCCCAACCUGCUCCCAGCACAGAGCCUGCCGAGCUGGGGUGCUCUGGAGUGAUAUUGGCCAAAUUAUAUUACUAUAUUGCAUGCACGUAUGAGUCUUUAACAACAUGUCCCACCAUUGUGUAUAACUAUACUGCACCAGUGAAAAUAUGGGGAAAAGAUAAGGAUUUCCAGGAAAUUUCAGUUUGAUCCUAACCACAAUCCUGGGGAUGGGACAGCUGUUAAAUCCAACAGGUGUCAGAUUUCAUCCUGAACUGCUGUUAUGGGGUGUCAAUCAGCCUACCCUUUAAGAUGAGAUGCUGGCCACAGGUUUUUGUGUGAUGAAGUCCAAGGAGGCACUAAAAGGAUCACCAGUGCUGGGCUUAUUACCCAGUGGCAGCCUUCCGGGGCAGGCUACGUGGCUCUCUGUAAAUUAAGUGUCCUGGUAGAUGUGGGAAGGGAUGGCAGUCAUGCUAAAUGAGAGCUGGAAAACCUCGAGGUGAUGACCCAACAGAGAGCUGCUCCUUGGCACUGCAUUUCCCUUCUCUCUUUUGGUAGCAAUUAUAAACAUUUUAUUUUUUCUAGGUGCAAAAUAAACUUCUUAGUGUAUUCUGAGGAGCAAGGACAGGUAUUUAGAAAGCCAGCCAAUGAGCACCUUUGCACACGAUACCUAUGUCCUAAACCCCAGGGUCUGUAAAUGUCACCCUAAUUGGAAAAGGAUCUUUGGAGAUCUGACUGAGGAUCUGGCAAUGGGAGAUUAUCCUGGGUUGUUGAGGAGAAGACCCUAAAUGCAAUCACAUGUAUCCUUAGAAAAGAAGGAUCAGAGACAGACUUAACACAAAAAGAGGGUAAUGCGAGGAGUGGGGGCAGAGAUUGAAGUUUGGAAGCCACCAGAAGCUGGAGGAGCCAGGAAAAGAAUCUCCUGAGAGCCUCUGCAAUAACAUUUGCAUUUCAGCCUUCUGGCCCCAGAACUGUGAAAGAAUAAAUUUCUUUUGUUUUAGCCAUCCUGUUGCAGAUAGCUUAGGGCAGCACAACAGCCACAGUAAAUGAAUAGUUUAAAUAUCAUGUGUAAGUUUAAUGAAAGGUUAUGGGUUUUAGAAUCCAAAACAGCUGAGCAAUGCACCAAAGUCUGCUACUCUUCAAACUCUGGGGUUCUGGACAAGUUAGCUUCUCUAAGCCUCAGUUUCCUUGUCUGGAAAGGGAGGAUUAUAGUUCCUUACUUUGCAGAGGUCAUACUGCAGGCAUUUAAUAAGAAAAUGUUUGUGCCAGUGCCAGGUGUGGCUGGCAUGUGGUGGUUCUUCUUGUGUCAGUAUGGAGUGGCUUUGGACUAGUGUAGAAGAGGGUGCAUUUCUGUAUUCAUCCAUAGGUUUUGACUUCAGCAUCUAUCUUGUCAGGGAAAUGGGGCAGGAUUCACAGUUCUUCCUGCUCACAACCCUCUGAGUUUUGUUAUGUUUUUUAAACCAUGAAUAAUUUUCGCUUUGGAGGGGAAGAAGGUGGUGUGAACUUCGUUUCCUUCUUCACCUGUCUCAAAAUAGACCUCGGUCUGGAGGGGGGGGGCAUUGCUCAGAGACACAGCCAGCUCUGCUUGUGGGUGCUGGGGACCCUGACUAGACUGGGGGCAGCAGGGUGCAUGUAGCAGGACAUCUUGGGACCUCAUCCUUCCUCUGCUGCAGGACUUCAUGUCAGGAAGGGUGCCCACCCAGAACCUUCUCCAACUAUCAGAAGCAGGAUUAGCUGCUUGCUAAAUUUCCUUCCAGGAUUCUUAGAAGAAAUGGUGAAAACUUUACUAAUUCUACCCAAAGUGGGCUCCAGAUCCUAUCAUCAGCUGCAGAAAUUACCCGUGAGAGUGGCUUUCUGGAAGGGCAUUCACCUGUGCGUUCCUCAAGGUUUAGGAAUCAACCUCCUGCCUGGGUCUCACCUCCUACUAUCAUAAACUCCUGCUUCUGGCCUUUUCCUCUACUGCCCCCUUCUGCCUAACAGGAAAACUCCUAAAUCCAAGCUUGGAUUGCAAGCAGGGGAGGCCCUUUGCAGUUCUAAUAUCUUCUUUCUGCAACACCAUUGACCACACUCAGGUACACAUUUAUUGAGCAGUUAUUAUAUCCCAAGCAUUGUGUGGCGGACUCCAGACUCAACAAGGAGUGGAUCAUGCCCGCUUGCCUUGCACAGGCUGUUCCUCUCUCUGGGGUGGCCUGCCUCUGUUCUCCUAUUUAUCUUCAGUUGCCACCUCCUCCAGGAAGUCCUCCCUGAGUCAGUUGCCCUCACUGCUCUCCUCCCCUUCUACAGUGUUUUCAUGAUAUAUGGUGAUGCCCUGUCCAUCCACUGUCCCUGGCCUGGUCAGGACACCAGGCCCACUUCUUAAAGCUGAAGGGAUCAUUUCAAGAUCAGGAAAAGGGAUGCAGGGUGAAGAAUCAAGGGUGAAGGCAUGCUUUCAGAGAAGCAGGAGUGAGAAUGUGGAUGGGAGCAACUGGCAGGAGCCGGAGAACUGAGGACAGUGGGUCACAGUUAGGUGUGCACACCUCCCCAUAUGUCCACAACCCUGCAUGCUUUAUGUUCUCUAAGGCAAGGACCCUCCCCAUCAACCCAGAGAGACUAUCACCUGGGAACAGAAAUACUAAAGUGACAAGGUUUCUGGUGACCAGCGCUUUGGGUGAGGGAGUUGCCUGAACCUCUCGAACCCAGUAAUGCUAAUAAUCCCCUAAGGAGGGAAAAACAAACCCAGCUCCCUAGAAUCUAAAUUGGGCAAAAAGCCUUCUUUUGACAAAAGGAAACAGAUAAAGCUGUCCAGGAGAUGACUGAUAGUUAAUUCAGUACCUCAAAAAUUCUGCUAUCAUGAAUACCUUUUAUAAGUACCUUUUAUAGCUGGGGCUGGGGCUCAUUGGCAGAGCGCUUGCCUCGAACAUGUGAGGCACUGGGUUCGAUUCUCAGCACCACAUAAAAAAUACAUAAACAAAAUAAAGAUAUUGUGUGUCCAGGUAUAACUAAAAAAUAUAUUUUAAAAAAGCAUCAUCAUCACCUCUUAAAAACAACCUACCUUUUGUUUUUCAAGUAUAAUGUUCAUUGUAAAAAUAUAGACAAAUGUUAAAAAGAAACAAAACAUGAAUGAUGUGAGAAAAAAAAAAAAAGAAUAGCAUUACCCUAGAUUAGGUAGAGAGAAGUGAUGGGAAGGGAGGGGAGGGAUUGGGGAGAUAGGAAGGAUAGUAGAAUGAAACAGACAUUAUUAUUAUUACUGUGUGUAUAUAUGUGAAUGCAUGACCAAUGUGAUUCUGCAACCUGUAUACUCAGAAAAAUGAGAUAUUAUAUCCCAUCUGAUUCAAAUGUAUGAUAUGUCAAGGUCAUUGUACUGUCAUGUGUAACUAAUUAAACAAACAAACAAACAAACAAAAAGAAACAAAACAAAGAUUAACCACUGUUAUUAACACUGGAUGCAUUUUCUUUUUAUAUUUUCCUAUAUAUGAACUACAUAAACUACAUAUGUGUGUGUGUUGUGUGUGUGUGUGUGUGUGUGUGUAUAUAUA